CCUACGGGGGCAGCAGUGGGAAUAUUGGACAAUGGGCGAAAGCCUGAUCCAGCCAUGCCGCGUGUGUGAAGAAGGCCUUCGGGUUGUAAAGCACUUUCAGUGGGGAAGAAAGCCUUGGGGCUAAUACCCUCGAGGAAGGACAUCACCCACAGAAGAAGCACCGGCUAACUCCGUGCCAGCAGCCGCGGUAAUACGGAGGGUGCGAGCGUUAAUCGGAAUUACUGGGCGUAAAGCGCGCGUAGGCGGUCUGAUAAGCCGGUUGUGAAAGCCCCGGGCUCAACCUGGGAACGGCAUCCGGAACUGUCAGGCUAGAGUGCAGGAGAGGAAGGUAGAAUUCCCGGUGUAGCGGUGAAAUGCGUAGAGAUCGGGAGGAAUACCAGUGGCGAAGGCGGCCUUCUGGACUGACACUGACGCUGAGGUGCGAAAGCGUGGGUAGCAAACAGGAUUAGAUACCCCAGUAGUC
rnacentral:rRNA from 1 species